GAUAAGCGCUGAAAGCAUCUAAGCGCGAAGCUGGCCCCGAGAUGAGUCAUCCCUAGAGCUUCGAGCUCUCUAAAGGGUUGUCGUAGACGACGACGUUGAUAGGCAGGGUGUGUAAGCGCUGGAUAAGCGCUGAAAGCAUCUAAGCGCGAAGCUGGCCCCGAGAUGAGUCAUCCCUAGAGCUUCGAGCUCUCUAAAGGGUUGUCGUAGACGACGACGUUGAUAGGCAGGGUGUGUAAGCGCUGUGAGGCGUUGAGCUAACCUGUACUAAUUGCCCGUGCGGCUUAACCAUACAACACCCAAGCGGUU
rnacentral:rRNA from 1 species